GUGGUUAGUGCGCAAGCCCUUAACCCAGAGGUAAUGGGUUCAAGGCUCGUGGCUGCUAC
rnacentral:miRNA from 1 species